rnacentral:rRNA from 1 species
GCAUGCUUCACGGUGCUCACAACACAGCCACACGUGACCAGUGUUAUACGUGAGCCCGGAGCUUGCGCCUGCACCAAGAAUCAACCGAGAAAUCAGGAUCAGCUCUGUUAAAGCCGGUGACGCAAAAAAUUGCGCCACCAAGCCGGCGGGUUUGCCGUAGCUCCCCCGCCACAGUCUUGCUUUCACUUCGCCUUCGGGUUUUGUGAGACCCUUAGACUUGCACACAUGCUAUACUCCUUGGCCCGUGUUUCGAGACGUGACCGAUGGUGCUGGACUUAACACCACUCAGACCAACGCCCGGCUGAGAGACCUUGCAUAAUGCAGCUGGGUUCAUACCGCCUGGGAUUGACGCUUCCGGCACAGUGGAAGCGCCUGGGCGUCGGUCUGGCCAGAAAGCAGCUCGUCGCAAGAGGAUCAUACCAGGUUUAUCUCGGUCGCCGCCCGACCCAGGACUAGACACGCGUGUGAGUGAAGACUAGCUUCAAGCAUGCACAACGCAUCGUUGCCAUCGUCCUGGAUGCGCGAUCGGCAGUUUGAGCCUGUGGGUGACCUCACAACGUGCUGUGGUGGGCGUAACCACAAUAGACACAGAGCUCUGAACGUCCAUUCAAAAGGGGACAGCCAGAAGUCUUUCGGCCGAAGCCUGAGACCUCCAAACCGAACCCCCGCACGACGACUGAUCGGCAUACUCAAAUGCUUCGCCUGACGAGCGAGACUCAACGUCUUCUGAACACCACAAGUGAUGAAMCCCAUCUGUGGAAGCCYYYYAAGCUCCAUUGGCUUAUACUCUGAGCGGUUUCACGGUCUUU